rnacentral:misc_RNA from 1 species
GUGAAUCAUCGAAUUUUUGAACGCAAAUUGCACUCUCCUCUGAGAGUAUGCCUGUUUGAGUUUCAGCCUAUAAAAAAUCGACAUCGUUGCUGUUUCUCGGUGGCGUUCGUUGGAAAUUGGGUCAUCUUAAAUCUUUUGGCUUUAAGCGACUUAAAAUUUUCUUUUUGGUUCCAUGAACGUUUCUAAGAUGUAUUUCUUUACACGUUUAUGGUUUCGAUUUUUAUUAGACGUUACAAUCAUAUCGGAUCGCGACUAUAAUCUUUCAUUUACUG